UGUGUGUGUGUGUGUGUGUGUGUGUGUGUAAGGAUCGUGUAGAAUGCGUUUGGACCCCAGAGCAGAUUUGUUCCACUUGUCAGAUCAGGAAAUUUCUCUUGCGAAUCUUUUUCCAGUCGAUUCACUCCAUGUUCGAAGCGAGAGACCGCUCUCUCGUCUCGUUUCACUCUCUGUGGACGCGCUGAUCCCGUUUCAGGUUCCGGAUCCACCGCGUCUCUGACCGGGACGCGGCGGGCACUGAAGACGGACGUAUGAAUAAAUGAAUACAUUAGAAAACGAAGCCUUUUCCAGCGCUCCUUCUCCUAGCAACAGUGCUGUCACGGGUUUGGAAACUUUGAACCAACUAUUGUCUCCGUAUGUGAUCGAGAACUUCCAAACGCCUCGGUGGAAGAGUGGAGGAACAUCUCACAGCAAGAACUGACCAAUCUGGUGCAGUCCAUGAGGAUGAGAUGCUCUGUAGUACUUAAAGCAGCUGGAGGACACACCAGUUAUGCUGUCGUUGCUGGCCUUGCCAGAGUCCCUGCUUAGACUCUGCACACAAUGUACGUCUUCUCAACCUUGCGAGGACAAGAGCAUCAAGAGUCAAGUUAAGAGUCGUUUAUAUCCUAUAUGCAGUGCACGCCACUAAUAUUGGCCCGCUUGAUACCGGUGAUCCUGACUCCUUUGGACUUGCCUCUGGACCUGCUUGAUGCAUCUUGAAGCCCCUCUUCUGCUUGGCGAUUUUGUCACCUGAAAAUGACUCACUGCUGCUGCUGCACAUGUACGGCCUAACGACAACCAUCAGAUUACUGUGGAUGGUAGCACAAAGAAACCAUAAUGAGGGCUGUGGAUGGUCUUCCUUGGAUAGCCUGAGGACCACAAUUGCUAAGAACAGUUUACCGUCUCCAUCAUUGGACAGUUAAAGCUAUAAUAAUACUCCUAUUCAAGCUCCUAAAAAAAAAUGACCACUUUUUUGAUAUAGAUCUAGAACAGAAAUCAUUUAUAAAUCACACGAUCUGGUACCACCCAGCUGAGGAUAGGUUCCUCUCAAGGUUUCUUCCUCCCUCAGGGAGUUUUUAACUUGCCCCUGUGGCUUUUGGAUAAAUGUAUAAAUGUAAAAGUUAUAUCUGGAUUUCUGUAUAGCUGCUUUGUGACAAUAUCUAUUGCUAAAAACUCUAAUACAAAUAAAAAUGAGAAUCAAGCACAUACGGGUGUGAUCAGUCAGGUGUCCACAUUCAUUUUGGCAAUAUAAUGCCACUAAUCGGUGGUUUUAUGAUGACCCCCGACGUGAACACGGUAGAUCCCCUAACUGACUUCCAAAACGAAAU